rnacentral:rRNA from 1 species
UACGUAGGGUCCGAGCGUUGUCCGGAAUUACUGGGCGUAAAGAGCUCGUAGGUGGUUUGUCGCGUUGUUCGUGAAAACUCACAGCUUAACUGUGGGCGUGCGGGCGAUACGGGCAGACUGGAGUACUGCAGGGGAGACUGGAAUUCCUGGUGUAGCGGUGGAAUGCGCAGAUAUCAGGAGGAACACCGGUGGCGAAGGCAGCUCUCUGGGACGGUACUGACGCUGAGACGCGAAAGCGUGGGGAGCGAACAGG